rnacentral:rRNA from 1 species
GGGGGAUAACUAUUGGAAACGAUAGCUAAUACCGCAUAACAGUAGAUGUUGCAUGACAUUUGCUUAAAAGGUGCAAUUGCAUCACUACCAGAUGGACCUGCGUUGUAUUAGCUAGUUGGUGGGGUAACGGCUCACCAAGGCGACGAUACAUAGCCGACCUGAGAGGGUGAUCGGCCACACUGGGACUGAGACACGGCCCAGACUCCUACGGGAGGCAGCAGUAGGGAAUCUUCGGCAAUGGACGGAAGUCUGACCGAGCAACGACGCGUGAGUGAAGAAGGUUUUCGGAUCGUAAAGCUCUGUUGUAAGAGAAGAACGAGUGUGACAGUGGAAAGUUCACACUAGGACGGUAUCUUACCAGAACAGGGGACGGNGCUAACUACGUGCCAGCAGCCGCGGUAAUACGUAGGUCCCGAGCGUUGUCCGGAUUUAUUGGGCGUAAAGCGAGCGCAGGCGGUUAGAUAAGUCUGAAGUUAAAGGCUGUGGCUUAACCAUAGUACGCUUUGGAAACUGUUUAACUUGAGUGCAAGAGGGGAGAGUGGAAUUCCAUGUGUAGCGGGUGAAAUGCGUAGAUAUAUGGAGGAACACCUGGUGGCGAAAGCGGCUCUCUGGCUUGUAA